GGCUGUUCUCUGGUGAUGCACCCUGGAAUCUGACUCCCUCCUCUCUGGUUCCGGGUGUGUCACCCGAGAACUGCU
rfam:Myotis brandtii contig233530, whole genome shotgun sequence.